rnacentral:lncRNA from 10 species
GCCCCAGGGAAGACACAUGCUUAUUAGUGAAGAGUGGUUGUCCCCAAGCCCCUUGGCAACUCAAGUAACAAGUGUCUGGGGGCUACUGUUUCCCAGAGGGUAAUUCUGCAACCCAGGGGGUUUCUGGAGUGACUUCUUUCAGAAUGUGCUCCUAGGAGUUUAAAGACAAAGACAGUCUUUCAUGUAUUCAUUCAACAAACAUUUUGGUUGAGUGUUAAUGAGUGUGGCACUCAGCUAGGUUGCUCGAGUGCAGCAGUAAAUAACAGACAUGAUUCCUGCACUCGUAGAGUUUACAUUCCACCAACGGAGGAAGACACCUCACAAUUAAUUAUGAAGCUCCAACUCAGCAAGGACAGAAUGUUCUGAAGCCACAUCUCCAGGGGGCCAGAGACAGGAUCUCAGUAUGUUGGCCAGGCUGGUCUGAAACUCCUGACCUCAAGUGAACCUCCCGCCUCAGCCUCCCAAAGUGCUGGGAUUACAGACAUGAGCCACAGCACCUGGACUUGCAACUCUUCUUGAUUGUGAUGGUGGUAUAUACACAAAGCAUCUUGGCUCAUGGCUUCCAUCCUCAAGGUUAGGUCAUGGCUCAAGAUGGUAACAGGAGCUGCAUCAGAAGGUAGAAAAGUGGGGGUCUUCUGCUGAGUUGACUCUAUCUUUCUUUUUCAUUUUUUAUUUUUUUUUUGAGAUGGAGUUUUGCUCUUGUCACCUUGGCUGGAGUGCAAUGGCACGAUCUUGGCUAACUGCAACAUCAGCCUCCCUGGUUCAAGCGGUUUUCCUGCCUCAGCCUCCCAGGUAGCUGGGAUUACAGGUUCCUGCCACCACACUCAGCCAAUUUUUGUGUUUUUAGUAGAGUCAGGGUUUCACCAUGUUGGCCAGGCUGGUCUUGAACGCCUGGCCUCAGGUGAUCCGCCCACCUCAGCUGGAAUUAUAGGUGUGAGCCACCAUGCCCGGCUGAGUUGACUCUAUCUUUAACCUUUCCAGCAGCAGCCCUUAACGUUCUUCCUCACUUGCUAGGACUUAGUCACAUGACCACAUCUGCAGACAAGGACAGCUGGGAAAUGCAAUCUUUCAUCCCUGGUAGCAGUGUGUCCAACUAGACAUGAGUCCUAUUAUUAAGGAUAUAAUAUUGAAAUACAGAGCUGGUAAUCUCUGCUACAGUGAUCUGCCCUGUCCUGUGCUUUUUGUUCUUUAGUGGGGCUCAUCUCAGAAUAUGACUAUGGAGAAACCUGGGAGCUGAUUUCCCUAGGGGCUGGGGUUUUCUCAGAUGAAUAGUAUAAAAAUGCCAAUGGGCCGGAGUCUAGAACUGUCAUGGGAAAGUAACUGAAAUUAUGGACCAUGGAUUCUGAACUGGAUUUGGAAAAAGGGAGGACAGGAGGAUGCUGGUAGAUGGAGAGAAAGAAGCACAUACUGAUGCGGUGGAAGAAAAAUAUCUGUGGAAGAAUUUGGGUGAGCAAGCUUGUGCAAUUGGAGAUGGUGAAGAGGAAGAAGUUAGGCUGUGAGGAGAUGAGACAAUGACUCCGUGAAGCUCAACUGAAGAUCAGGGAGUGACACGAAUCCACCAAACUUCUUUCCUGUUUCUCUCUCCUCUCCACUUAUUUUCAAAUUCUAUGAGUCUGCAUCUGUAGGAUUUCAAACUUAGCGUGUUUUGGACACAUGUGGCGCCCCAUCUCACAUCCCCUUUGCCCACCUUUUACUCCACUUAUUUCCGUGGCAGCUAAAGUGAUUUAACACACACCUUCCUGAAGUGCGAGCUGAUAGCCCUGUGUCUCAACUCCAUCAGGACUCGCUCAUGCUCUGCCCCAGAGCUUCUCUGACCUGCUGGGCACUCACACAUGUGCAAAUCUAGAAAGGGAAGGAAGUUAAUACCCCAUGGGGCAAUCCUUGACCAUGGGGGACCAGGAUCUGAUAAGUAAAUGCUCCCUCUGGCAGCCCUCAGAGUGGAUAAUUCUGAGGUACAUUUUACCUGGCUCCUAGCUGGACUGAGCCUUGGGUAACCAUAGCAGUGACCACCUUGGCAACACAUUUUUUUUUCUAUUGUGCUAACACAGAAUGUAAAAUUUACCAUUUUCACAAGUUUACACGUACAUGUCAAUAGCAUCUGGUACAUUCACAGUGUUGUACAACUAUCACCACUAUCUAGUUCAGAACAUUUCCGUCAUCCUAAAAAGAAACCCUAUAUCCAUUCAGCUGUCACUCCGCAUUCCUCCCUCUCCCAGCCACUGGGAACCACUAAUCUGUUUUCUGUAUCUAUGAAUUUGCCUAAUCUGAAUAUUAUAUAUAAAUGGAAACAUUCGAU